GUGCCAUCAGCCGCGGUAAUACGUAGGGUGCGAGCGUUAAUCGGAAUUACUGGGCGUAAAGCGUGCGCAGGCGGUUUGUUACGUUAGGCGUGAAAUCCCCGGGCUCAACCUGGGAACUGCGUUUAUGACGGGCAGGCUAGAGUAUGGCAGAGGGGGGUGGAAUUCCCCGUGUAGCGGUGAAAUGCGUAGAGAUUGGGAGGAACACCGAUGGCGAAGGCGGCCCCCUGGGCCAAAACUGACGCUCAGGCACGAAAGCUUGGGUACCAAACAGGAUUAGAUACCCGGGUAGUCCACGCCCUAA
rnacentral:rRNA from 1 species